CCCUUAGAUGUUCUGGGCCGCACGCGCGCUACACUGAUGCAUGCAACGAGCUUAUAACCUUGGCCGAAAGGUCUGGGUAAUCUCCAAAUUUCGUCGUGAUGGGGAUAGAUUAUUGCAAUUAUUAAUCUUCAACGAGGAAUGCCUAGUAAGCGCAAGUCAUCAGCUUGCGUUGAUUACGUCCCUGCCCUUUGUACACACCGCCCGUCGCUCCUACCGAUUGAAUGGUCCGGUGAAGCGUUCGGACCGUGGCCUUUGGACGGUUCGCCGUCUGUUGGCUGCGGGAAGUUCGUUAAACCUUAUCAUUUAGAGGAAGGAGAAGUCGUAACA
rnacentral:rRNA from 1 species